CUGUGUGGAAGCUCCUGCUUUCAAAAUACUUUGUUUCCAUUAUUUUGACAGUUACCUGUACAUUAGUUGAAGAAAAGUUUAAAAUCAAAUCACACUGUGAGAUUAGAGUGAGGUUGAUGGUCAUUUUGCACAUUGCACAAUUAUUUUGCGAUACAAAACUUUUCCCCAGAGUGUAUAUAAAAGGAUGUUUGUGAUAUAUCUUGUUUCUGUUUCACCUCUUAAAUGGUUGUAGAAUCCACUAACAGAACUACACAGGUCUCAAUUUGUUGAUGGAAGGCUGUGUGAUUCCCACCAACAGGUUCCACUUCGAAACAACAGGAAUAAUGAGAAGAAAAAGAGAAGUGUGAAGGAUGUUCAUGCAGAUGCUGCGUUUGUGGAUAAGCACAUGAGUGCACUAAUCAAGAGAGUCACAAUGGUAAUGGCUAUAGCAGAUGACCUACUGGGAGAGGACAUGAUCCAAGAUGAAAUGUAUUCGAUUAUUGAUGUAGCCGAGACCAGUGAGAAAAAAAUGAGAGUUAUGUACAAGGCUCUACGCUCAGGAGGACCACUGAUUAAAUCAGCCUUCUACACAGCUCUCCAAACGAAUGAACCUAAUCUUGUCAAGGACUUGGCUUCCCCCUGAAGACAGACCUGGCUUGGGUUGGUCCUCAAGUGCUGGACAAAGGGCAGCAGGCAGUCUCACCGGCUGUGGGACAGCAGCGGAGUUACUAUCCUCCUAAUGCCCCUAUAGGUGUCGGGGGAUAUAAUCAACUAGCUCUAUCAUCCUCUUUUGUUGUUGUGGCUUUAUGCUAACUGAAAUAUGCGCUCUUGCAAUCUGCUAUAGCCUGGUACUUUGUUUUCCUCAGAAUGUUUUGUGUGUUUUGUUUUUAUCAAACCCAUCUUUAGUGUUCUUACUGUAUGUGUAAGGGAAAAUUACAACACAAAACUGGUUAAAUAUGAUGUUAGUUAAAAAAACUUGUGCAUGCAUAAAUACUUGAGGACAACAGAGGGACAAACAGGUUGAGUAGCAUAUAUGCUUGUUAAUUGAUUUAUGCAUUAUUUUAAAUAUUUGGUAUAUAAUACAAUCAUGAAAAGUUUGUCACAAUUUAUUUGACCAGAGGACAAUACCAGUGGAAACAGUGCCAUGAAG